rnacentral:lncRNA from 1 species
UUUUUUUUUAAAACAGAAUUUCACUUAUUUGAGAUGGUCCAAUAGAAGACAAUAUAGCAAAACAGUUUGCGGGUAAAACAAAACAAAUGUAAUAACAAAACAUUAAAAACAGCAAAAAGUACCAGUAGGUACCAUCAAAAGUCCAUAUAGAGCACCCAAAAGAAAAAGUGGAUCUUAUAAAGAGUGAGCGUAGAAGCAUGAAAGGAUGAAGAUCCAUUAGACAUGCAAGUAGAAACUUAGAAAAUGAUCUUAGUCUUGAGACUGACGAUAGGAUUUAACCAAAUCGGACCACCCCAAGCUAGUAAAUGUGAGCAGAAUCACAACAUUAAUUACUUGCAACAACAUCAUCUGCAAAUCGUUUUCUCGUGAAACCUGAAAGGAGGAUAAAGACCAAAGCCUUAAUCUGACUGAAUGAAUGAAAAUCCAUGAGUUAGAACCCUGAAAAUUACAAGCUCUACUUUAUCUACAAUAGCGGCUUGAGAAGAACGCAACAUGAUCCAAAGUACGACUCAAAAUGAUGAAUCACUACCCAUUCAGAUCAGUGACACUAAAACAGCUCCUCGUAGAAGUAUCAGUCUCCAAAAACAAAACUUACUCUAAAACAUUGACUUGAGGAGCAUACCGCACAUGAGGAAGAGUUUGGGAGAUAAAAGAGAGAAGCCACUGCGAAGAAACUCCGCCACCUCCCCCAACAAGAGAUGCAAAGAAGCAGCGAACAAACCGAAAAGAAAACACUGCAAACAACCAGCACGGCGAACCAGCGAACAAAAUAAACAGAAAAAGAAACAUAACAGAAACACAAUCUCUACUUGAAUCACAUGAAAUCAGAAAAAAAAAAAGAUAAACCCCACCGUCGAUUGAAGGACCCAGAGCUCCGACCUCAGUGCAAGAUGAUAGAAGACAAUCGAAUCUGAGACUCAGAACCUCUCCUAAUCCCAUAUCAUCAACAAAACGUCAGACUCUGGCUAUCAAGAGAAGAAGGCCAGAUGAUACACAUCUAACAAAAAAGAAAAACAAGGAAAGAAAGGAGGGGAGACCAGCUCCAAUGCUAUUGAAGCCAUCAGAGCCGGUCUCAAUUCUAAUAUGUCUAUGGACACAUA